rnacentral:rRNA from 1 species
GACGAACGCUGGCGGCGCGCUUAACACAUGCAAGUCGAACGGAAAGGCCUGCUUUCUCUUGUGGAUUGCGGGUACUCGAGUGGCGAACGGGUGAGUAACACGUGAGUGAUCUGCCCUCAACUUGGUUAUAAGCCUGGGAAACUGGGUCUAAUUCCCGAUAGGACUGCAGGGUGGUGCCUGUGGUGGAAAACGAUUUUCUAGUGGUUGGGGAUGAGCUCGCGGCUUAUCAGCUUGUUGGUGGGGUAAUGGCCUACCACGGCGGCGACUGGUAGCCGGACUGAGAUGGUCGACGGCCACAUUGGGACUGAGACACGGCCCAGACUCCUACGAGAGGCAGCAGUGGGGAAUAUUGCACAAUGGGCGGAAGCGUGAUGCAGCGACGCCGCGUGGAGGAUGACGGCCUUCGGGUUGUAAACUCCUUUCGACCGCGAGGUAGCCACCUGGUUGGGAGGGUGUUGACGGUAGUGGUAGAAGAAGCACCGGCUAACUACGUG